rnacentral:rRNA from 1 species
GAAAGGGCGUACGGUGGAUGCCUAGGCACUUGAAACUGAAGAAGGACGCAACAAACGGCGAAACGCGGCGGGGAGCUGUACGUAAGCAAAGAUCCGCCGGUAUCCGAAUGGGGGAACCCGGCAUGCGUAAUAGCAUGUCAUCCGCAGAUGAACAAAUAGUCUGCGAGAGAGGUACCCGGGGAACUGAAACAUCUAAGUACCCGGAGGAAAAGAAAACAACAGUGAUUCCCUGAGUAGCGGCGAGCGAAAGGGGAGGAGCCCAAACCAGACCGAGGUCUGGGGUUGAAGGACCGCGAUACGGCAAGAAUCAUGGUAGGAGAACGGCAUUGAAAGGCCGACCGGAGAGGGUGCAAGUCCCGUAUCCGAAACCGUGAGGAAGCCCAGCGGGAUCCUGAGUACGGCGAGACACGAGAAAUCUUGUCGGAAGCAGGCGGGACCAUCCGUCAAGGCUAAAUAUAAGCAAGUGACCGAUAGUGAACCAGUACCGUGAGGGAAAGGUGAAAAGAACCGCGGGAGCGGAGUGAAACAGAACCUGAAACCGUAUGCUUACAAGAAGUCAGAGCACGUUAAGGUGUGAUGGCGUGCCUUUUGUAGAAUGAACCGGCGAGUUAUGUUAUCGUGCGAGGUUAAGCAGGAGAUGCGGAGCCGAAGCGAAAGCGAGUCUUAAUAGGGCGGCAGUACGAUGACAUAGACCCGAAACCGUGUGAUCUAGCCAUGACCAGGUUGAAGUUCAGGUGAAACUGAAUGGAGGACCGAACCGACCCCCGUUGAAAAGUUGGCGGAUGAGUUGUGGCUAGGGGAGAAAUUCCAAUCGAACACGGAUAUAGCUGGUUCUCCCCGAAAUAGCUUUAGGGCUAGCGUCGAGGAUGAGUCUUGUGGAGGUAGAGCACUGAAUGUACGAUGGCCCCAUCCCGGGGUACUGAGUAUAAUCAAACUCCGAAUGCCAUGAGAUAUUCCCGGCAGUCAGACCGUGGGUGAUAAGGUCCAUGGUCAAAAGGGAAACAGCCCAGACCGCCAGUUAAGGUCCCAAAAUGUAUGCUAAGUGGAAAAGGAUGUGGGGAUGCACAGACAACUAGGAGGUUGGCUCAGAAGCAGCCAUCCUUCAAAGAGUGCGUAACAGCUCACUAGUCGAGUGACCCUGCGCCGAAAAUGUACCGGGGCUAAGCAUACUACCGAAGCUGCGGAUUUGUAGUAAUACAAGUGGUAGGGGAGCGUUCCAUGCACGUGGAAGCCAUACCGAAAGGAGUGGUGGAGAGCAUGGAAGUGAGAAUGCCGGUGUGAGUAGCGAGAUGCAGGUGAGAAUCCUGCACACCGAUAGCCCAAGGAUUCCAGGGGAAGGUUCGUCCGCCCUGGGUAAGUCGGGACCUAAGGCGAGGCCGAAAGGCGUAGUCGAUGGAAAACAGGCAGAUAUUCCUGUACCCGCGAUGGAAAUGAAGGAAUGACGGAGAAGGCUAGCAUGAGCCACUUAUUGGAUUGUGGUCGAAGCGAAUAGCAGGUGCAUAGUAAAAUGCGUGCACGGGAUGUAAAACGUGACAGGUAAGCGAAACCUUUGGGGAGUAGCGAAGCAUGCGAGGCCAGCUUCCAGGAAAAGUUUCUAGUGCUGAUUCCAUAGCGGCCCGUACCAAAACCGACACAGGUGGGCAAGGAGAGUAUCCUGAGGUGAGCGAGAGAACUGUUGCCAAGGAACUCGGCAAAAUGACUCCGUAAGUUAGCGAGAAGGAGUGCUUAUGAAAGUAAGCCGCAGUGAAGAGGCCCAAGCGACUGUUUAACUAAAACACAGCUCUCUGCGAAGUCGCAAGACGAAGUAUAGGGGGUGACGCCUGCCCGGUGCUGGAAGGUUAAGAGGAUUUGUCAGUUUCGACGAAGCAAUGAAUUGAAGCCCCAGUGAACGGCGGCCGUAACUAUAACGGUCCUAAGGUAGCGAAAUUCCUUGUCAGGUAAGUUCUGACCCGCACGAAAGGCGUAACGAUUUGGGCGCUGUCUCGGCAGCAGACUCGGUGAAAUCUUAGUACCUGUGAAAAUGCAGGUUACCCGCAACUAGACGGAAAGACCCCAUGGAGCUUUACUGCAGCCUGAUAUUGGAUUUUGAUCAGAGAUGUACAGGAUAGGUGGGAGACGAAGAAGGAUGCACGCCAGUGUAUCUGGAGUCGACGUUGGGAUACCACUCUUGUCUGAUUGGAGUUCUAACCUGCGUCCAUGAAGCUGGACGGGGGACCGUGUCAGGCAGGCAGUUUGACUGGGGCGGUCGCCUCCCAAAGAGUAACGGAGGCGCCCAAAGGUACGCUCAGAUUGGACGGAAAUCAAUCGGCGAGUGCAAAUGCAGAAGCGUGCUUGACUGUGAGACAAACAGGUCGAACAGGGACGAAAGUCGGGAUUAGUGAUCCGGCGGUGCCGAAUGGAAGGGCCGUCGCUCAACGGAUAAAAGCUACCCUGGGGAUAACAGGCUGAUCUCGCCCAAGAGUUCACAUCGACGGCGAGGUUUGGCACCUCGAUGUCGGCUCAUCGCAUCCUGGAGCUGAAUUCGGUUCCAAGGGUUGGGCUGUCCGCCCAUUAAAGCGGUACGCGAGCUGGGUUCAGAACGUCGUGAGACAGUUCGGUCCCUAUCUGUUGUGGGCGUAGGAGAUUUGAGGAGAGCUGUCCUUAGUACGAGAGGACCGGGAUGGACCUACCGCUGGUGCACCGGUUGUUGUGCCAACAGCAUAGCCGGGUAGCUAAGUAGGGAAGGGAUAAGCGCUGAAAGCAUCUAAGCGCGAAGCCUACUCCAAGAUGAGAUCUCCCAUACGCAAGUAGUAAGACCCCUUGAAGACGACGAGGUAGAUAGGUCAGGGAUGGAAGCGCAGCGAUGCGUGGAGUUGACUGAUACUAAUAGGUCGAGGACUUAAUC